rnacentral:rRNA from 1 species
CGAAAGCCUGACGGAGCAAUACCGCGUGAGGGAGGAAGGCUCUUGGGUCGUAAACCUCUUUUAUCAGGGAAGAAACAAAUGACGGUACCUGAUGAAUCAGCAUCGGCUAACUCCGUGCCAGCAGCCGCGGUAAUACGGAGGAUGCAAGCGUUAUCCGGAAUUAUUGGGCGUAAAGCGUCCGCAGGUGGUUUUGAAAGUUUGCUGUCAAAGCGCGGAGCUUAACUUCGUACCGGCAGUGAAAACUACGAGACUAGAGUUUGGUAGGGGUCACGGGAAUUCCCAGUGUAGCGGUGAAAUGCGUAGAGAUUGGGAAGAACACCAGCGGCGAAAGCGCGUGACUGGGCCUGAACUGACACUCAUGGACGAAAGCUAGGGGAGCGAAAGGGAUUAGAUACCCCUGUAGUCCUAGCCGUAAACGAUGACAACUAGGUGUUGCCCGUAUCGACCCGGGCAGUGCCGUAGCCAACGCGUUAAGUUGUCCGCCUGGGGAGUACGCACGCAAGUGUGAAACUCAAAGGAAUUGACGGGGGCCCGCACAAGCGGUGGAGUAUGUGGUUUAAUUCGAUGCAACGCGAAGAACCUUACCAAGGCUUGACAUGUCGCGAACCCUCUUGAAAGGGAGGGGUGCCUUCGGGAGCGCGAACACAGGUGGUGCAUGGCUGUCGUCAGCUCGUGUCGUGAGAUGUUGGGUUAAGUCCCGCAACGAGCGCAACCCUCGUUUCUAGUUGCCAUCAUUAAGUUGGGCACUUUAGAGAGACUGCCGGUGACAAACCGGAGGAAGGUGGGGAUGACGUCAAGUCAGCAUGCCCCUUACGCCUUGGGCUACACACGUACUACAAUGCUACGGACAAAGAGCCGCAAGUUCGCGAGGACAAGCAAAUCUCAUAAACCGUGGCUCAGUUCAGAUUGCAGGCUGCAACUCGCCUGCAUGAAGGCGGAAUCGCUAGUAAUCGCAGGUCAGCAUACUGCGGUGAAUACGUUCCCGGGCCUUGUACACACCGCCCGUCACACCAUGGAAGUUGGCCACGCCCGAAGUCAUUACUCCAACCCUUCGGGGAGGAGGAUGCCGAAGGCAGGGCUGAUGACUGGGGUGAAGUCGUAACAAGGUAGCCGUACCGGAAGGUGUGGCUGGAUCACCUC